rnacentral:rRNA from 1 species
GGGGAACCUGACCGAGCAACGCCGCGUGAGUGAAGAAGUUUUCGGAUCGUAAAGCUCUGUUGUUAAGGAAGAACGUAUGUGAGAGUGGAAAGUUCACACAGUGACGGUACUUAACCAGAAAGGGACGGCUAACUACGUGCCAGCCAGCCGCGGUAAUACGUAGGUCCCGAGCGUUGUCCGGAUUUAUUGGGCGUAAAGCGAGCGCAGGCGGUUAGAUAAGUCUGAAGUGAAAGGCAGUGGCUCAACCAUUGUAGGCUUUGGAAACUGUUUAACUUGAGUGCAGAAGGGGAGAGUGGAAUUCCAUGUGUAGCGGUGAAAUGCGUAGAUAUAUGGAGGAACACCGGUGGCGAAAGCGGCUCUCUGGUCUGUAACUGACGCUGAGGCUCGAAAGCGUGGGGAGCGAACAGGAUUAGAUACCCUGGUAGUCCACGCCGUAAACGAUGAGUGCUAGGUGUUAGGUCCUUUCCGGGACUUAGUGCCGCAGCUAACGCAUUAAGCACUCCGCCUGGGGAGUACGACCGCAAGGUUGAAACUCAAAGGAAUUGACGGGGGCCCGCACAAGCGGUGGAGCAUGUGGUUUAAUUCGAA